GAUUAACGCUGGCGGCGUGCAUAACACAUGCAAGUCGAACGAUGAAACUUAAAUGAUUUCUUCGGAAUGAACUUAAGUGGAUUAGUGGCGGACGGGUGAGUAACGCGUGAGUAACCUGCCUUACACAAGGGGAUAGCCGUUGGAAACGACGAAUAAUACCCUAUGAUGUUUCUAUCUCGCAUGAGAUAUUAACCAAAGUGUUAGCGGUGUAAGAUGGACCUGCGUCUGAUUAGCUAGUUGGUGAGAAAAAAGCCCACCAAGGCAACGAUCAGUAGCCGGCUUGAGAGAGUGUACGGCCACAUUGGGACUGAGACACGGCCCAGACUCCUACGGGAGGCAGCAGUGGGGAAUUUUGCACAAUGGGGGAAACCCUGAUGCAGCGACGCCGCGUGAUUUAGAAGGCCUUCGGGUUGUAAAAAUCUUUUGUAUAGGAAGAAAAUGACAGUACUAUACGAAUAAGGUCCGGCUAAUUACGUG
rnacentral:rRNA from 1 species